rfam:Candidatus Scalindua brodae SCABRO_contig000274, whole genome shotgun sequence.
GCGCCCGUAGCUCAGAUGGAUAGAGCAACGGUUUCCUAAAUCGUAGGUCAGAGGUUCAAAUCCUCUCGGGCGUA